rnacentral:rRNA from 1 species
GGCAGAUGGGAGAGUAACACGUGGGAACGUACCCUUCGGUUCGGAAUAACCCAGGAAACUUGGGCUAAUACCGGAUACGUCCGUAAGGAGAAAGAUUUAUCGCCGAAGGAUCGGCCCGCGUCCGAUUAGCUAGUUGGUGAGGUAAUGGCUCACCAAGGCGACGAUCGGUAGCUGGUCUGAGAGGAUGAUCAGCCUCACUGGGACUGAGACACGGCCCAGACUCCUACGGGAGGCAGCAGUGGGGAAUAUUGGACAAUGGGCGCAAGCCUGAUCCAGCCAUGCCGCGUGGGUGAUGAAGGCCUUAGGGUUGUAAAGCCCUUUCGGCGGGGAAGAUAAUGACGGUACCCGCAGAAGAAGCCCCGGCUAACUUCGUGCCAGCAGCCGCGG